GACAGAGGGUGCAAACGUUGUUCGGAAUUACUGGGCGUAAAGCGCGCGCAGGCGGCGGUGCUGGCCCGGCGUGAAAGCCCCCGGCUCAACCGGGGAGGGUCGUCGGGGACCGCACCGCUUGAGGGCGGUAGGGGCUGGUGGAAUGCCUGGUGUAGUGGUGAAAUGCGUAGAGAUCAGGCGGAACACCCGUGGCGAAGGCGGCCAGCUGGGCCGUCCCUGACGCUGAGGCGCGAAGGCGUGGGGAGCGAACGGG
rnacentral:rRNA from 1 species